CCAGCCACCCCUCCUCCCUGGCAUGGGAUUCAUGGGCACCAGCUGAGGACAGGGUUCCCUCCUCUGCCUGCCAUAAACGUUGGCACUGAGGACCCGGGUUCAGAAGGACAGGACAUUCCCAAAGAAAAUAGUUUUAAGUUGCUUUUUAAAAUAUAGAUGUAUCUAUUUUGUGAAACAUUGCACCCGUUUUGGUGUGAGUGCGAAGGCGAGUGGAAGAAGGUGACCGAGCCAGGAGGAGAGAGCACAGAUGGCUUGGUGGUGGUAUGGUGUGGUGAGUUGUGGGGAAGAGAGGGGGUCUGGCAGAGGUGGAGGGGAGGCGGGUUGAGGACCCUGUUUUCUUCUUUUCGUUUUUCUGUGGAUGAAGGAGAGAAAGAGAGAGAAGGGGGUGGGGAGAGAAGCGAGACAGAUGGCAGAGUGGAGAGGCGGCAGCCAGUGCCGGCACUGCCCAGCCUGGGCGGACCCAGCUCCCCCCAUGCCUGCCAGCUUUCCAAAUGCCACCCUUCCCCCAUCCUCCCCUCUCCCCAUCCCCCCAGCUUGGCACUGAUCUCGGAGAGGGAGGGAGGGAGGCUGGGCAAAGAGCAUCUGUUCCCUCCAUUCUCACAGCUCCAUCGGCUGCCAACCUAGGGCCAUCGCCUGCCUCCAUCACCCCUCCGCCCGCCUGCCCGCCUGCCUACCCACCCAAUCCCAAACGGGUGCUGGAUCAGGUGCCGAAUCUGGCUGCCUCUUCGGGACCUCCUUCCCCUUCCCUCUUAGGCAUGGGGAAUGGAGCGACAGACGGUGAGACGCUUGAGGACACAAAGGAGGAAGCUCGCCAUUGCCAAGACCCCAAGGAAGAGGGGUGGAGAGCGCUGGCAGUCCUGCCUGGACCCCAGCCAGUUUGCUGCUGAAGAUGGCCAAGCCCUCUUGCCUGGUCUGUACAUGUCACUGCGGGCGCGUGGGGGAGGGGAGGGCUCGCUUGCUGAACUGGGACAAGAAUGGGAAGGACCCCUUUCUGCAGGUCCUGUUUGGACUCUCCAUGCUAACAAGUGAGGUUCUAACUCCCCCUGGUGCCUUCUCCUCCAGGCCCCCUCCACUCUACCCCUCUUUCAUCUUUUUAUCACCACCUGGGUCCUACUGCUUGGCACCCAACCAGCUAGAUGCUGCCGGCUUGGCAGUGCUGCACUGGCACGUGAACAGCGUCUCAGAUCCUGGCACUGCGGCAAACCCCACGCCACCGAACAUGCUCACCACCGCCACUUGGCGGCACUGAGAGAGGGGGCAGUGCACCCAGAAGUGCCAGGCUUUGGAUGGAGCUCUGUGCUAGGGAGUGGAGGAGAGGACACCUUCCUCCCGACUGGAAACACCUCCCUCCUGCCCUCAGCUGCCCCCAAGAAGGGACUGAAAUGGUACUACACUCAGUGUUUGAGCAGCUAUUCCAAGAAAGCCUGGAGCAGAGACACAGCCACAGCCAGGUCCGUGGACUGUAUCCUGCUCUGGGCAGCAAGGGUAGAAAAGAAUUUCGGGGGGCGCUGAGAUGAGAGGCCAGUCAGCUAUGUUGUCACAAAGAUGGUGCCAGAAGAGAUUGGAAGGGAAGAAGUAGGAAGAGAGACCCUGGGCCCUGGCUGCUGUGGUGAUGGGAGGUCUGCGCCUGCAUGGAUUUCAUUCUGCCCUUGUGAUUCUGUCCCUUGUCGUUGAAUGAGCUGUGGUUUAGAUGAAUCAAUCAUCUCUCCCUCAUCAAAAGGCCAUAUUCGUGAACAGUCCUAGAAAGAGAGAGGACUGUGGGCCUAGAGAGGUAGGCAAGUGUUAGGGAGACAAAGACACCUGGGACUUGUCCAUCCACAAAGACCAUUCCAAGAGACUGUGUUUAGGAGUUUCUCGGUACCUGCCCAAUUGGAGUCGGUCAGUCUCCAUAUGUUUAUAAGGGAGAUCAUGAAUCAGCCACAAGCCCUGGUAGAGGAAGGCCCCUCAAAGCAGAAUCCCCCGCAACUGUGGUGAUACAUCCAGAGGCCGUGCCAUGGGCAGUCCCACAGAACUGGACCUUGAACUUUCACCUGGAAGAACUUCUUGCAGGUUGGCUUUUCCUGGGUAGCCAUAAGUUGUGGGUCAGUGACUAGGAAAAUCUUCCAGUAGAUUUUGCUCUGGGGAAAGUAGGUGGCUCUGAUGGGGGACAGGGCCUGUCCAGAGCAAGGCAAAAUCAUGGCUGUGUUGUGCCACCGCUCAGCUGGCCUCGGGUCUGUCUUCUGGCCUCGGCACCACCAGGAGGGGAUGGUGGCUUUGGAGGAAGCCAAGUGGGCUCCUUAGCAGAGGAGAGAGCAGGGAGGCACUCAGCCAAGGGGCGAGUGGACAGCAGCAGAAGACAGACUCUGCACUGUGAGUAGUGGGGGGUGUUAUCAUGGUGAUGACACCGUCCGCGGUGAUGCUUGCCCCGUGGGGCAGCCCCUGAUGGGGCAGGGUUGAGCCUGGGUCUAGAGUCGGGGACAGUCACAGCUGAGGAAGGGGCUGAGCAGUCUGAAUUUGUGCUGAAAUUCCAGAGCUCAGAACCACUUGAGGGGUUCUUGAUUCAGUUGAUGGGAGAUGUGAUCUCGGAGCGUGUGUUAUAAACAAGCACUUAGGGACCGUGACACAGGUGGGCAAAACUUUGAGAAGCACCAUUCUACAAGAUGCCGGUCACUUUGUAGGAUGGUUGCUCUAGCCUGGAUUCCCCACACCUUCUGCAUCUUUCUUCUUCCUCUCCAACCGUAUUCGCGUCUUUGAUGCUGUUGUGCAUGUGUCAUGAGGUGUGUGUAAGGUGGGGGCAGGAGAAGAAAAAGGAGAGACUGUAAGUUCAGACCGAGCAAUUGAACUUGUUAGAAUAGUGCUUCUCAUUGGCAGUGGUCACCACAGAAGAGUCCCUUAGGGAACACUUGCAAAAGUCACUCUUUCACCCCCAGAUUCUGAUGUGCUUCUGAAACUUCACCACUGAAAGCCACUCAGUUAGGAGAUUGCUCUCUGUGGUCCAGUCAGGUUUAUGUGGGUUUUGUGGCUCGGGACAGUGAAGGUGUGAGCAAUGCUAAGCUCCUGCUGAUAUUUGUGUUGGCAUUUUAGACAUUGUUUAUGUAAAAGUAUGUACAGUUGGGGUUGUGGCUCUCCUUCUGGCCACCUAAAAUCAACCUCGCUUCUAGCUAGGUGGCUCUCCGUGGCUGGGGAGAAUUAAGAAACACCAGAUUCAGGCUACUGAUUGAGAAUGAGGCCAGUUACCCCUUGUCUGUCCUUUAUGUGGAAGGUUGCCCUAGGCUCUUCCCAUAAAGUGUAGCCUCUCCCUGUGAGGCUUCCCCUAGGGAUCACGCCCCAUCUUUCCCUAAACUUGAUGAGCUACGGUCUAGGUCUCCCACAAAUGUCUACUCUCUUGCUUUUCAUUUGACCUUUGCAAAAGACAUCCAAGUUGUAACCCUGUAGAGCCUGGGACUGGACCAUAGCAAGAGCUUCCUUGGUACUAGGGCAUUUCUUCCUUCUUCAGUCCUCUAGAAAUGACAUCCUUCUGGCUUACAAGCUUCUCCUUAGUUGCUCCCAACUGGUGGUUUGCGCUUCCUAUCACAGCCUAGAGAAAUGUUCCCAGGACCUGGCCCCUCCUCUAGCACAGGGUCCUGGUCCAGUUUACCCCUGUAUUUUAAGAGUUCUCCCCCAGAGUUCCUCCUGAUUUCUGUUUCUUUCCCCUUCUUAGAGUCACACUCCCGUGGAAUUAAAGGUCUGUCCUCCAUGGAUUAAUGUUCAACAUAGGUCACCCUUCCUGACAUAGGUUACAUCUCCCCUGACUGUUUAUGGACUUUUCCUACCUACUAUUGUAUGAAGAAAGUAGGUGUACUGGAGGGUAUUUGUGCUUACAGGAGUGUAGGUGCUGGGGCCCAUGUGCCUACGUGCCCAAGGGGCCUGUCCUUGCUGGCAUUUGAACGAACCCUUCUCUACAUCGUCGGCUGUUUCUGAUGGUAUGCUUGCUGAUUUCACUGGUGCAGAUGUACACACAAAGCACUAUACCUCAGGUGCAUAUUAUAUAGGGGUGAAUGAUAAGCAAAUGUGUCUUAAAAUAACAGAUCAGGGUGUUGGAGAUCUGGGGGAAUCAAGAGAUCCAGUCUGUAAGCCUUGAAGGUGGUUACGGAACACACAGAAGGAAUCGAGCAGGUGGGUGCUUUUAUGCUUGGAAUACCUGGCUUUCUUGGGUCUGGUGCCUGCAUUUGUAAGUAAAGUCCAGAGGCGAGAGGACCAGGGGAAGAACUGGCUUCUUUUUAUGGUCUUAUUGCAGACUCGGCCCCAUUUAGCCACGAUUUUCAGAUUUUCUCUAUUCCAGACUUUCUAGUUGAGGUUUGGGUACCUUAAGCCACAGACUCUGCUUUAAAGAAAAACACCUUUAAAGAAAAGCACAUUUCCACCUUCUGCCUCCCAGAAUGGUGGGCCAUGAUUUGGAUGCUCUCAGACCCGUGUAUGUCAGAGAUGCUAGGCCCCAGGCCAUGGGAGAACAAUCUCAUGAACCACUGAUUCAGGCCCACUUUGGGGAUGGGGCAGGGAUGAUGCCUAAGAUAGGCAUCGGUGUGCCAGGCGCUUCAGCUGAUCUAUUACUUCACAGGAGAAGCAACAUAACAGCCUGGGUGACUUGGCCUUCACCUCUAGCGUUCUGCGUGGGAUUGCCCAACAGCCUCUGUCCAGCAGAAAGGCCGACUGCUUGUCUCUGAAUGGAGCGCUGCAGCCAAGGACUUUUGGUCUAAGACAGGUCAGGGGAGAAAUGCUUCCACCCCCUGGGAAGAUGGGGUGGUACCCCAGGAGAAGCAUGUUGACUUACUUAAGUCAGCAGAGUCAGCCAGGCUCUUUUGUCCCCCAAAUGACAGGGCCCAGAGCCUGAAACAAAGGAAGGCCACAGGAGGAGACUGGAGGUGGAAGUCAAGAAGGAAAAGUAAGCGCAUGUUACUAGAGGGAGAUGUUCUCCACAGUCCCGCUCCCCCAGCCUCCCCACUCACCUGAACUGAAAGGAGCUAAGCUGCCCAGUGGUGGCUGGGCCAGAGCUGGGCCUGGCAAGAGGACCGGGGCCAGGCGAGGCAGGGCCGGGGCCGUCCCCAGGGGCAUCGAGGCAGGUGUGGUGACAGGUGGGGCCUUGGGAGCCAGGGGUGCCUCAGGGGCCGGGGCUGGGGCCAGGUCGUAGCACUUGCUUUCACUCUUCAGCUGGGCUCGGACAGCCUCCUUGAGCUUGGCCAGGUGCUGGCGGGAAAAGAGAUGGCCUCGGCAGGAGACAUAGAAAUCAUACUUGACAUCACAGUAGGGGCAGUCAGUGCGCUGGGCUCCCAAGGGGCCCUCACUGCUGCCCCCAGACCCACCAACUGCUGCCCCCUGCAGUUUGGCCUUCUUUUCCUUGGCACGAGCAUUCUGGAACCAGACCUGGAUGACUCUCUUGGGCAGCCCAAUCUCCUCUCCCAGCACCUCGCACUCUUGCAUGGUUGGGGUGCGGUAGGCUUCAUAGCAGGCUUUCAUGAUCUUCAGCUGCAGGCUGCUCAUCUGGGUCCUAUAGCGCCGCUGCCCUACUCCAUCUGGAACCCCAGCCCCACCUCCUUGUCCCCCACCAAUCCCUCCAGCCCCAGGGGACUCUGGUUCAGCCAGGCUGGAAGCAGACGAAUCGCUUAAAUCUCCUGCAGAUGGACUGCAAGCCUCACUCU